rnacentral:lncRNA from 1 species
CUGACCUGCAGCAGCUUCCCCAGCAGAUCAGCACCUUCCUGGUCCAACCUGGAAUGGGGGGAGAUGGGGGUCAGUGGGGGGGACUGGGGGCACUUGGGGGGCAGAGGGGGCUGUGGGUCCAAAGGAUCACUUCUAGGGUCAAAGGUCCCCUUAUAGGGCCGUGUGUUCCUCUAUAGGGCUGUGUGUUCCUUAUAGGGCCAUGGGUUCCCCUAUAGGGCCGUGGGUUCCGCUAUAGGGCUGUGGGUUCCCCUAUAAGGCUAUGGGUUCCCCUAUAGAGCUGUGGGAUCCCCUAGAGGGCCAUGGGUUCCCCUAUAGGGCCAUGUGUUCCUUAUAGGGCUGUGGGUUCCCCUAUAGGGCCCUGUGUUCCUUAUAGGGCCAUGGGUUCCCCUAUAGGGCUGUGGGUUCCCCUACAGGGCUGUGGGUUCCCCUAUAGGGCCAUAUGUUCCUUAUAGGACCAUGUGUUCCUCUAUAGGGCUGUGGGUCCCUUAUAGGGCCAUGGGUUCCCCUAUAGGACCAUGUGUUCCUCUAUAGGGCUGUGGGUUCCCCUAUACGGUUAUGGGUUCCUUAGAGGGCUGUGGGUUCCCCUACAGGGCCAUGUGUUCCUUAUAGGGCCAUGGGUUCCCCUAUAGGGCCAUGUGUUCCUCUAUAAUGCUGUGGGUUCCCCUACAGGGCUGUGGGUUCCCCUAUAAGGCUAUGGGUUCCCCUAUAGAGCUGUGGGUUCCCCUAUAGGGCCAUGGGUUCCCCUAUAGGGCCAUGUGUUCCUCUAUAAGGCUGUGGGUUCCCCUACAGGGCUGUGGGAUCCCCUAUACGGCUAUGGGUUCCCCUAUAGGGCCAUGGGUUCCUUAUAGGGCUGUGGGUUCUCCUAUAGGGUUAUGGGAUCCCCUAUAGGGCCAUGGGUUCCCCUACAGGGCCAUGGGUUCCCCUAUAGGGCCAUGGGUUCCCCUAUAGGGCCAUGGGUUCCUUAUAGGGCCAUGGGUUCCCCUAUAGGGCCAUGGGUUCCUUAUAGGGCCGACCGUGGCGCGUGGCGGCGCAGCCCCUCAGGGCAAUAAAUGGGGAAUCGAUGGGAGCGGAAUUCGGGGUUGGUGGAGAUCCCCGGCCACAACUCCUCCGUCGGCGUCCCUAAAAACCCCAAAAUGACCCAAAAU